rnacentral:rRNA from 1 species
GUUGAACGCUGGCGGCAUGCUUUACACAUGCAAGUCGAACGGCAGCACGGGCUUCGGCCUGGUGGCGAGUGGCGAACGGGUGAGUAAUGCAUCGGAACGUGCCCAUGUUGUGGGGGAUAACUACGCGAAAGCGUGGCUAAUACCGCAUACGCCCUGAGGGGGAAAGCGGGGGAUUCUUCGGAACCUCGCGCAAUUGGAGCGGCCGAUGUCAGAUUAGCUUGUUGGUGAGGUAAAGGCUCACCAAGGCGACGAUCUGUAGCGGGUCUGAGAGGAUGAUCCGCCACACUGGGACUGAGACACGGCCCAGACUCCUACGGGAGGCAGCAGUGGGGAAUUUUGGACAAUGGGGGGCAACCCUGAUCCAGCCAUGCCGCGUGAGUGAAGAAGGCCU